GCAGCCUCGCUGGACGGCCCGGAUCGGACUCUUAAUCCGCAGGUUCUGGGUUCGAAUCCCAGGGGGCGCACCA
rnacentral:tRNA from 1 species